UACAGAGGGUGCAAGCGUUGUUCGGAUUUACUGGGCGUAAAGCGUGUGUAGGCGGCUUGGCAAGUUGGAUGUGAAAGCCCACGGCUCAACCGUGGAAGCGCAUCCAAAACUGCUUCGCUCGAGUCUCGGAGAGGAAGGUGGAAUGCUUGGUGUAGAGGUGAAAUUCGUAGAUAUCAAGCAGAACACCUGCGGCGAAGGCGGCCUUCUGGACCAAUACUGACGCUGAGGAGCGAAAGCCAGGGGAGCAAACGGG
rnacentral:rRNA from 1 species